rnacentral:lncRNA from 1 species
UCAUAUCCCACCAGAAAGUCGGAAAGGAAAGAAGAAAACCAUCCUCCUUUCUCUCUCACGCCAUGGACUCUUAAUUCAAUCUUUGUGUCCCAUAUUUUACACCAGUACACUGUCCUGUCCAAAUAAAGCAAAGCCCUCGUCAAAAACAGUAAAAACACCCUGCAAGCUUAAGGAACAGAAACGACAAUCAGAGUCAGCGCAAAACUUGCCUGAACUUGAGACUCUGUGUCCCUUUUGAUUGCUCUCUCUUACGAAUUGAUUACCAGUUCUUAGCUAGCUUCUAGUUUCUGCGGUGUCAUCCAAAGCCAUGGAGCCAGGACGCCAGCUUCCUACUCCCUAAUAUCUGC